rnacentral:misc_RNA from 1 species
ACCAAUAUGGAUAUGCAAAGUCUAUGAUAAGGCACAGAACCAGGCAAUAUCCCAUAAAUCAGCAAUGUUAUAAUUGCAAAGUCUCCAAUUCACUAAAGUGAGAUACUCCCUCACCCUGGACAAGAAAAUCAUGACAGGUCCUAAAUAAGAUGUCCCUUUUCUCUCUCCUUUCUAAUAGUUCCUAAAAAAGUCCUUGUAGUCUUAGUUUCUUACAGAUUAAUUGGUGGUAGUGUAUAACACCUGGACAGGGAAACCUAGCCCUGCUGCUGAAGCAAAUUUGAAGAGUCCGCCAUGUCACAAUAUCAUAUGUGCGAAGGAUUUGUUCACCCAUUUGAAUAUUCUAAGAUUGGACUUGUUCACAAAAAGGUUGGGCAAAUAUAGAGUUGGGAUUGCUUUACUCAUCAGCAGAUAUCAAUCCAAAUUUCAUAGAACUUGUCCAGAAACCAGUUGCACAAAUGACAAAUGAAAUCCAAUUAUGCAUGUCCAAACAUCAUCAACAUCUCCAUCUAAAAAAUAUGCACCCAAACGAAAUAUUUUCUUAGCAAAACUUAAUAUCAUUUUAGAAUUCAUUUAUCUGGCCAACAAGGCAGUGAGGCACCAAAAAUCAACCAUGCUCUUUACACUCUUGUAAAAUAUUUGCAUAAUUUAGUCUUCAACAAGGCCAUCAAACUGCCUUCAAGGAGACAUUUCCAUGACAAGUUUGAGUUAUCUGAUACAGAAAACAAAUACUUCCUCUUAGAUAUGAUUUUAGGGUCCAGCUCCUUAAUCAGGUAUUCAACCAAACCAACUAAGAAAUAAAGAUAUUUGACUAUGAAAAAUUUUUAAAGGAACAUUAGGGUUAAAGUUAAAAGGGCCAAUUUCUUUUUAUCCUAAAAAUUGUGAGAAUUUCAAUACCUUAAUAAAAUGAACCAAUGCCUUCAACAUUUCCCAAACUGGCAUCGGCAAUAAACCUUUUAACACAUUCUAGUAUGUAUGGAUCACACUGAAUACCAUGUUAUUGGAGAUCACAGCACAUUAAUUAAAAAACAAAAAUUACAAAUUAUAGUUUUGAUUAAUA